rnacentral:rRNA from 1 species
CCUGAGAAACCCAAAAGAUCGAAUGAGGAGAUUCAUCGUCAAUAUAUUUAAUAUAUAUAUAAGUUAUGAUGUAAAUUAUUUUUUCUCUUUAUGGGUUAUUUAAUAUAUACAUACUUGUAUUAUUUUAUUGUUAAAUAUUAUCGACGUGCACUUCUCCUCUAGUAGGACGUUGCGACCCGUUGGGUGUCGGUCUAUGGCCUUAUUAAGUAGCCUUUAAUUCCUUAAAAAAAUUAAAGAUUAAUUUGUGUUUCCUGACCGACUGCCCGGCGGUAUUCAUAUGAUAAUGAGUCGCAUUUUAUUAUGCGUUCAUACCCAUCGCAAGCGAGGCCAGUUUAUUAUCCUGGUAGUUACGGACUUAGUGCCGUCGCUGGGCCUGGCCAGCUG